ensembl:lncRNA PCBP1-AS1 PCBP1 antisense RNA 1
GGUCCCGCCGUGCAUCAUGGCAAAGUGAGACUGUUGUCUUGCCACCUGGUUCAGCUUGGCCAGAUCGAGCGGAGAAAUGAGGAAGACAAACAUAAAGAUGAAGUGCUUAAUUCAAGGUCACACAAUGUCGGGGAUGGACCUCCAGAUUUCCUUACUGGUGAGACGUGGUCUUGUAACACAGUGGUUAAGAAUGUGACUUUGGAGCCAGCCUGCUAGGGGCUGAAUUCUGACUCAGCCAUUUACUAACUGUGUGACCUUAGGGAGGAGGACCUGGUUGAUAGAAGAAUUUAUCUCGUAGUCUUAACAUCCACUGUAAUUCCAAACUUUGAGGACGAUAGAGAUCAGUGGGCUUUGACUGCCCAGCAUGCAGUCUCCAUUCUUAGGUCACAGAAUUUUCCACACUCCUUGACAGAGGUGCUUAACCCUUAUCCAUCAGCAUUCUCAGACAGCACCUCCGGUUAGGGACAGUAUCUGACCGUCCGACAUCCCUGCAGCCCCCAUGUGUCACACAGACUCA